GUGCUAACUUUGGUAGCACAUAAAGUAAAAUUGGAAUGAUAUAGAGAAGAUUAAUUAGCAUGGCCCCAGUGCAAGGGUGUUAUGCUAAUUUGUGAAGCAUUCCAUAUUUUU
ensembl:snRNA U6 U6 spliceosomal RNA